rnacentral:rRNA from 1 species
UACGGAGGAUCCAAGCGUUAUCCGAAUUUAUUGGGUUUAAAGGGAGCGUAGGUUGACAUAUAAGUCAGCUGUGAAAGUUUACGGCUCAACCGUGAAAUUGCAGUUGAUACUGUAUGUCUUGAGUGUACAAGAGGUGGGCGGAAUUCGUGGUGUAGCGGUGAAAUGCUUAGAUAUCACGAAGAACUCCAAUUGCGAAGGCAGCUCACUGGGGUACAACUGACACUGAGGCUCGAAAGUGUGGGUAUCAAACAGGAUUAGAUACCCUGGUAGUCCACACAGUAAACGAUGAAUACUCGCUGUUUGCGAUAUACAGUAAGCGGCCAAGCGAAAGUAUUAAGUAUUCCACCUGGGGAGUACGCCGGCAACGGUGA